UACGUAGGGUGCGAGCGUUAAUCGGAAUUACUGGGCGUAAAGCGUGCGCAGGCGGUUCGUUGUGUCGGCGGUGAAAGCCCCGGGCUUAACCUGGGAAUGGCCGUUGAAACUGGCAAACUGGAGUGUGGCAGAGGGGGGUGGAAUUCCGCGUGUAGCAGUGAAAUGCGUAGAGAUGCGGAGGAACACCGAUGGCGAAGGCAGCCCCCCUGGGCUAACACUGACGCUCAGGCACGAAAGCGUGGGGAGCAAACAGG
rnacentral:rRNA from 1 species